AUUGAACGCUGGCGGAAUGCUUUACACAUGCAAGUCGAACGGUAGAGGGGGCAACCCCUCGAGAGUGGCGAACGGGUGAGUAAUGUAUCGGAACGUGCCCAGUCGUGGGGGAUAACGUAGUGAAAAUUACGCUAAUACCGCAUACGAUCUAUGGAUGAGAGCGGGGGAUCGCAAGACCUCGCACGAUUGGAGCGGCCGAUAGCAGAUUAGGUAGUUGGUGGGGUAAAGGCCCACCAAGCCAACGAUCUGUAGCUGGUCUGAGAGGACGACCAGCCACACUGGAACUGAGACACGGUCCAGACUCCUACGGGAGGCAGCAGUGGGGAAUUUUGGACAAUGGGCGAAAGCCUGAUCCAGCCAUUCCGCGUGCAGGAUGAAGGCCCUCGGGUUGCAAACUGCUUUUGUACAGAACGAAAAGGUUUCUACUAAUACUAGGAGCUCAUGACGGUACUGUAAGAAUAAGCACCGGCUAACUACGUGCCAGCAGCCGCAGUAA
rnacentral:rRNA from 1 species